rnacentral:rRNA from 1 species
UACGAAGGGGGCUAGCGUUGCUCGGAAUUACUGGGCGUAAAGCGUGCGCAGGCGGCUUUGCAAGACAGAUGUGAAAUCCCCGGGCUCAACCUGGGAACUGCAUUUGUGACUGCAUGGCUGGAGUGCGGCAGAGGGGGAUGGAAUUCCGCGUGUAGCAGUGAAAUGCGUAGAUAUGCGGAGGAACACCGAUGGCGAAGGCAAUCCCCUGGGCCUGCACCGACGCUCAUGCACGAAAGCGUGGGGAGCAAACAGG